GUUCCAUAACCGUUGAAGAUGUGUUACAUUUUAUGCCUUGAGAGUUCUAGGUGUAGUUAAAAAUAAAAAAGUUACUUGAGAAAUAUUAUAUCAAAAUCAACAAUCAAUCAACAUCAAAAUUCUGAAACAUUUUUCAUAUUCAGUUGAUUUAGGCUUAUUCUUCAAAAUAUCUAAAACAACGGCAUUAUAUACGAGUAUUUUUUACGCAACUCUGUAAAUCAUUGUAAUUACAUAAAUUUUCUCUUUUUUAAAACAAGUACGUGCGUAACUCGGUAGCAAUCGAAGCUCGAGUAUUUAAGCCAUUGCGUUUUCCACUGAUUUUGUUGGAAAGCGUCGCGUGAGGGCCCGUUGCCUUGGCGAUGGACGAGUAUAAGCCUGUUGGCAGUCGGUCUAAAAAUAACAGGCUGCCAGACAAUUACUUUUACGCCUCACGGUGCAACAACAUUCAAUGGCGUAAAUAAUAUUAAAAUAAAUGGAAAAAAGGAAGAAAAUGCGAGCGAAGCAGAAACCGCAGACGGCUGUCGUUAGUCAAUACUAAAUUUGCAAGUAUAGUUUGUCGAAAACCACUUUUGAGUGGCGAGCGUUUAAAAACACUCAAGGAAAAAAUUAUUCCAAAUUGAUUAAAGCGCUUAAGACGUGCUGUGCCUGAGCUGUUUGCUGUGAGCAACAUGUUGCAAUCGAUUGCGGUUAAAUUGAUUUGUUCCAAAAUUUCAGUGAUCUACUUGAGAAGCGAUUUUUUGGAUUGCCCCUACGCAAUAAAUACAUCUUAACGCUGAAGGCUCGAGCAGGCUCAUCAACUUUCCCAGCAUAGGUCGGGCAAAGCAACUCUUUCACUCAAUAUUUGACUGUCAAACAUGAACGACUCUCUUCAGUUCGAACGGACUGGUUGCAGGGGCAAAACGAGUACAAUUUCUAAAAUUAAGUUUUCCCAUUCGAAAUGUAACGGCUAAAUCUACAGGAAUACGUUCAGAUUUUAUAGCUUCAGAAGUACAAGACACAGGACUGAAAAUACCUCUUUCUACAGGGAACAGUUCGCGAGAGUAGCUUACGGUCUAGCAAGAACAUCAACCUUGCAAUUAUACGUAAUAUAAUAUAUAUUUCAGUUAAAAUUUGCGCUUAUUUCUCUACUAGAAGUUUGACAAAGCCUCUCAUAUUGUGAUGCAUUAACCAAGGGAAAGAAGAAAUCAUGCCAGUAGAAUAGAAAAUAAAGAAAACUAAUUAUUCUUAUUAUAAUUAUCCCAAAGGAGUAGAGAGCAUUGAUUCUAUGAACGCUUCGCACUAAAGGAUUUUCGAGGAACUGAACGUGCCUCACUUACUUUCAUUAUCGCGCGAAUUAAGCGCUAAAUUUCUCUUAUCGAUAAACGUUAUGUGUUCAAGCAUACUUACAACAACAUUAACCAAAUAAAAAAAGCCACUAAAAAGCAAUGAUAAAAACAGAAAAGCGUUUCCGCACAGCGAUAUAAAAAACAAAAGCAGUCACUUUGCAAAUAAAGGACUCUCCUGACCGAGCCACAGAAAGAGUAAAGCGCCAGCAGAGCAACGGCUUUUCAUGUUUGAAAUUGCUUUCACGUGCAAGCGAAGGAUUUGCGUGUGGACAAAAUGAAAAAAAAAAACGAUUAAAACACGGCUAAACAGAGCGGCAAGACGACAGAAUCGAAAAAAAUGCCUUUGGGACUCCUUCUUUAUCACCGCCAAUGCCAAUCCGAAAGUAGGGAACGCGAUGAACAUUAAAGAUGCAGCGAGGUGACGUACGAAUGCAACGUGAGGGAAAAUAGUCAAGUGUAUAUGUGUGUGUGCGUGUAACGGUGUGCGUGCUGAAGUAAAGCCGCAGCAUUAUUGUCUAUAAGAACACACAGGCAACUGUGAAUGCUAUGUUAGUAAUGAUAAUGAAGUCGACUGCUUUGAUUGGGACGUAAAGUGACGUAGGAAGAAAGCACGAUGUUGUCACUGCCGGCGCUGAAGGCUACUUAAGUUGCUUUCUGAAAGAAUUACUAUAAAAAGUGCUUUGAAUGCGUUCUUAUACAUUGAAAAAAAGUUAUGAGCCGAGAAAUGUGUAUCGGCACUAUUUUUAUACGUGAAAUAAUGGUAAAUAAACUGCUUUUUCUGAGAUAACCCG